CAGUCGCCACGGUAAUACGUAGGGUGCAAGCGUUAAUCGGAAUUACUGGGCGUAAAGCGUGCGCAGGCGGUUAUGUAAGACAGUUGUGAAAUCCCCGGGCUCAACCUGGGAACUGCAUCUGUGACUGCAUAGCUAGAGUACGGUAGAGGGGGAUGGAAUUCCGCGUGUAGCAGUGAAAUGCGUAGAUAUGCGGAGGAACACCAACGGCGAAAGCACUCUGCUGGGCCGACACUGACACUGAGAGACGAAAGCUAGGGGAGCAAAUGGGAUUAGAUACCCCGGUAGUCCCUGUCUCUUAUAC
rnacentral:rRNA from 1 species